CGAGGAUCCAGGAAAACAAAUGACGGGCGAGCUCAACAUUCGCAGACCUAAAGCUUGCCCUUUAGGUCUUCAAAUACAUUUGUUACUUGAUUGAGGCUCUUGUUAGCUACCAGGGAACUGGGCCAGGGUAAGGUUGUUAGAGGUUAUCAAAAAACGACACGCAGUAACACCUUUGUUAAGAAACAAUAGGCGCAGGGCUGGGCUGAAGCCCCAGGGCCUACGCCGAUCGGGGGGCCUAUCCAUGGUAGGGUGACCAGACGUCCCCGAUUUCCGGGGACAGUCCCCGUUUUCGGUGAUCUGUCCCCGGUCAAAGCUGUCCCCGGAAAUGUCCCCGAUUUUGACACUGAAUGGGGGAAAAACGCGCGCAGACUCAAAUACCAGUUAUUACGGUAGUCAUUUAGCGCAUCACCAGAGAAGACGUCGUAUGACGUACAGACGUUAUCAGGACGUACGACCAGACGCAGAAGCGUCAACAACAACGAUCUAGAGGCGGCAAAAAGGAAAAAGAGAAGAUCAGCGGUCAUAAAUGCUCUCAUCGUUCGGUUCCUCACGCGGAGGAUCAUCAGGGAGUACGCCUUGUUGACUGAGCUGGAGCAGGGCCCCGGUGUGUUUGUGGCCCUGGAGGAGGUGGACCGCAGCUCAGAAGUCAUCGGGGAGGUCACCAUGCUGAACACACUCCGCCACUACAAGUGUCCCUGAGCCUUCAGCCUCCAACUGUGUCAUCCUGUGAUGGACGAGAUGGUCAGAGGUCAGAGUUCAGAGGUCAGGAGAAUCCCUAGGUCAUGUGACGUGGGUCAAAUCAACAAUUAUGUAUCAAUUUAUUUUUUUAUCUUUUUCGCCAUAUUAAAUUUUUUAAAUAUAAACAUUAUACCAUUGGUGCCAAAGACAAAAGUCUUAUCCAAUUGAUUUUGGAGACCUUUGCAUCGCUACUAUGACGAUUAUUAAUAAUUAUUAAUACUACUACUAAAGCUUCAGCUGUGUGUCCCAUGUGCAAUAGAGCACAUUUGUAUGCUUUCGAGAGGACGCCGGGAAAUCGAUUAUUGAUGACUGAAAGAUAAAAAAGAAGUGAUAUCGAUUAUCUUGAGUAAAGCGAGCUGCUUUUAACCGAAUGGGUGCAUUUUUACCAGCUGCACCUCAUUCAACCACCGCAAUGUGAUGAUACUAAUCUAUUUUAUAAGCUAUUAUGUGAUUAUCUUAUGCUGCUGUAAAUACACCAAUCCUUGGAUAAACCUGACAGUUUAUCCUUUGACGUAUCCCGUCGCUUUUUUAUCUUUUUUUAAUCAUGACAUUUAUACAGAAUUUUGGAUUUUUGUUCUUUUAUCUGUUUUUUCUAUGCUGCUAUCUGUU